GAAGUAGGUAAAAGUCCGCCCAUGAAGUGAUGUUCUAAGAGAAGCUGCUAACAGCUUCCUCCAUGCCUGGCAAAACCAAUUGCUGGCUGGCUCUGAGAAUAGGUAUGCUGGUAAGCCAA